CCUACGGGUGGCUGCAGUGGGGAAUAUUGGACAAUGGGGGAAACCCUGAUCCAGCCAUGCCGCGUGAGUGAAGAAGGCCCUAGGGUUGUAAAGCUCUUUCGACGGGGACGAUGAUGACGGUACCCGUAGAAGAAGCCCCGGCUAACUUCGUGCCAGCAGCCGCGGUAAUACGAAGGGGGCAAGCGUUGUUCGGAUUUACUGGGCGUAAAGGGCGCGUAGGCGGAUUUACAAGUCAGAGGUGAAAGCCCUGGGCUCAACCCGGGAAUGGCCUUUGAGACUGUAAGUCUUGAGUGCGAGAGAGGGUGGCGGAAUACCCAGUGUAGAGGUGAAAUUCGUAGAUAUUGGGUAGAACACCGGUGGCGAAGGCGGCCACCUGGCUCGCAACUGACGCUGAGGCGCGAAAGCGUGGGGAGCAAACAGGAUUAGAUACCCCAGUAGUC
rnacentral:rRNA from 1 species